AUGAUUCUGGUUAUCGCAGCAGAAUUCAAUUUCUCGCGAUGCCCUCUUUUCUUCCCACAGAGCAGCCAACUGAGAAAGCUCAGGCAAGGAGCAGGAAGGACGGAUUUGGGUUACCCUCCUGUAAUCACAGCUGCUCUGUUUGCUCCAGUCACUAAACACGUGCUGACCAGCGGAGAAACAGUGUGCAUGCUCAUUAAAUAUUUGUUCAUUUAUCAGGAGGAAAAGCAGUCUUGCCCAGCUACCUCGUGGAAGGGUAUGGUUUUCAUGUCCAAUUGUAGCAGAAUCUUUUAAUAGUUAUGUUCCUUAAUUUAAGACAGUCUUGGAAUAGGGUGGCUAUUUUGAGCUCUUAACCUUGUGUUUUAGACAAUCUGAUGUGCCAAAUGCUUUGACUAAAUUCUCCUGAGGUAAAGUGCCAGCUUUGGAAUAGAUUUUCUGAGAAGCCGACAUUGAAUGCUGGCGGAAUGGCGUGGCCGACUGCCAGCCGGGGGCGGGAAAACUUGCUCUGAACUUUGGUUGACUACCUCUUUAGCUCACUGCGCCAUGGAUGAAUUGUCUCCGGCUCUCCAGGGCUAGAAGAGAGAGAGAGAAAGGCAGCUUAUUUGAGGAGCAGCUGCAGGGCCUAAGUCACAGUAGGAAAUGGUGUUGGCUUAAGACACCUUUGGUGAAAUGAGUCAGUGUAUCUGCUCAGCCAUAGGACAAAGUCUCCACAAGUUACCUGUAACUGGAGGGAAAUUUUACGUUAAACCAAGAGCAAGCACUCAACCUCCUCCUUAAAGCAAAAAAAGCCAUUGGUGGAAAACCCGAAUACCAUAAAUAACGCACAUGAAGUUAUACUGGUAAAACUGUAGGGACCUAUAGGUAGGAAUUUUUUUAAUCUCUUUUUUUUCCCUUUUCUUUUUUUUUUGACUUGGCUCUGAAAAUAAAAUGGUUGAUUCUUUUU
rnacentral:lncRNA from 1 species